rnacentral:rRNA from 3 species
GACCUCUGAGCUCCAGAUUGGGACAGAGGGAAUCAGCAUAAUUUUUUGUGGUGCAUUUACUUGAUUGGUGCUUGGGGAUGUUUGAGGCAGAUUUGUUUCCGUCGUUUUGAGGCCAGCUUGCUGGUACCCAAACGGUGUUAGCAUUUUUUGUCUUGGGCAUUUGAGUAUGGCUCACGUGUAUUUAUUGGACAGAUCUGAGUGUAAGUUACGGUCGCAUGCGACACGUGCUUUUCAAUUAGUUCGGUCCAGUUAAUGCUCUCGUACUCGUUCCCCAUGUAAAAGCCGGUCAUCUAUCCGACCCGUCUUGAAACACGGACCAAGGAGUUUAUCGUGUGCGCAAGUUUUUGGGUGUUAAAAACUUAAAAGCGAAAUGAAAGUAAAUGACUCUUUAGAGUCUGAUGUGCGAUCUUGUAAAAAAGUGUAGCAUGGCCCCAUUCUAACUGUUUACAGUAGGGUGGCGGAAGAGCGUACGCGGUGAGACCCGAAAGAUGGUGAACUAUUCCUGAGCAGGACGAAGCCAGAGGAAACUCUGGUGGAAGUCCGAAGCGGUUCUGACGUGCAAAUCGAUCGUCUGAC